GACGAACGCUGGCGGCGUGCUUAACACAUGCAAGUCGAACGGAAAGGCCCAGGCUUUGUGGGGUGCUCGAGUGGCGAACGGGUGAGUAACACGUGGGUAACCUGCCCUGGACUUUGGGAUAACUUUAGGAAACUGGGGCUAAUACCGGAUAGGAGCUCAUGCUGGAUGGUGGGGGGUGGAGAGUUUCGGCGGUUGGGGAGGGACUCGCGGAUUAUCAGGUUGGUGGGGGGGUAGUGGAUUACGACGGCUGUGGGGGGUAGGCGGCCUGAGAGGGUGAGCGGCCACAGUGGGACUGAGAUACCGCCCAGUCCCCUACGGGAGGCAGCAGUGGGAUAUUUUGCACUAUGGGCAGAAGCCUUAUGCAGCAGCGCCGCGUGCGGGAUGACGGCUUUCGUGUUGUAAUCCUCUUUCUCCUGUCACGAAGCGUUUGUGACGGUAAUUGGUAAAGAAGCACCGGCUAACUACGUG
rnacentral:rRNA from 1 species